rnacentral:lncRNA from 1 species
AGGACAACAACAGCUACUCUGAAAUAACAACCUCCUCCCUCUCUCUCUCUCUGUCCCCCUCUCUCUCUGCCCCCCCUUCUCUCUCUGUCCCCCCCCCCCCCUCUCUCUCUCUCUCUCUCUCUCUGUCCCCCUCUCUCUCUCUCCCCUCUCUCCUUCUCUCCCACUCUCUCCCCCUCUCCCUCGCUCUCUUUUUCUAUUCCCCUCUCUCUCUCUGUCCUCUCUCUCACUAUCCUCUCUAUCUCUAUCCUCUCUCUCUCUCUCCCCCUUUCUCUCUCUGUCCUCUCGCUCUCUAUCCUAUCUCUCUCUGUCCUCUCUUUCUCCCCCUCUCUCUCUCUGUCCUCUCUCUCUCUAUCCUCUCUCUCUCUAUCCUCUCUCUCUCUAUCCUCUCUCUCUCCCCCUCUCUCUCGCUCUCUUUUUCUAUUCCUCUCUCUCUCUCUGUCCUCUCUCUCUCUCUCCCCUCUCUCUGUCCUCUCUCUCUCUAUCCUCUCUCUAUCUGUCCUCUCUCUCUCUGUCCUCUCUCUCUCUAUCCUCUCUCUCUCCCCCUCUCUCUCACUCUCUUUUUCUAUUCCCCUCUCUCUCUCCCCUCUCUCUCUCUGUCCUCUCUCUCACUAUCCUCUCUCUCUAUCCUCUCUCUCUCUCCCCCUCUCUCUCUCUGUCCUCUCUCUCUCUCUAUGCUCUCUCUCUCUUAGUCCUCUCUCUCUCUGUCCUCUCUCUCUCUGUCCUCUCUCUCGCUCUUUCCACACUCUCGCUCUGUCCUUCCUCUCUUUUCUCUUUCCCUCUCUCUCACACCUCCCCCAAACUGAUCUGUUCCCCCUCUCCCCCUCCCUCUCACUACUCACAGCUAGUCAGAACUACAUUGUCUUCCCCCCUGUCCUGUCCAGGCUACAUCAUAUUUACCAAAACAUGCCUACAUUCUCAUGUAUCCCUCAUCACUACUCAAUAGGAAGUCUGUGCUGCUCUGACAAGUUUCAGUCUACAACCACCAACAGGUAGUCAUUAACUAGUUAUCUUUCUGUGCGUACUUAUCCUUCUUGGUUUUUGUUUUUCCUCUCUCUCCCCUCCUUUCCUCUCUCUCCCCUCCUCCCCCCUCUCUCCCUCUCCUUCCGUCUUUCUCCCCUCCUUCCCACUCCUUCCCCCUCUCUCCUCCUUUCUCCCUCAUUCCCUCUCUCUCUCCUCCUUCUCCACUCUCCCCUCUCUCCCCCUCCUUCCCUCUCUC